rnacentral:snRNA from 1 species
AGCGGCAGUGGGUAACUCAAACAGACAACGCCCUCGCCUUUUACUAGGGCGUUCCGUGGGUUGCCCUCGCUCUAAUGCCGCAUUACCAAUUUUUCAGUUCUCAGCUUGAUCUGAGCC